CACGUAUGGAGCAAGCGUUAUCCGGAUUUACUGGGUGUAAAGGGAGCGCAGGCGGCUUUGCAAGUCUGAUGUGAAAGGCCGGGGCUCAACCCCGGGACUGCAUUGGAAACUGUAAAGCUAGAGUGCCGGAGAGGUAAGCGGAAUUCCUAGUGUAGCGGUGAAAUGCGUAGAUAUUAGGAGGAACACCAGUGGCGAAGGCGGCUUACUGGACGGCAACUGACGCUGAGGCUCGAAAGCGUGGGGAGCAAACAGG
rnacentral:rRNA from 1 species